rnacentral:rRNA from 1 species
UACGAAGGGGGCUAGCGUUGCUCGGAAUGACUGGGCGUAAAGGGCGCGUAGGCGGAUUGCACAGUCAGAUGUGAAAUUCCUGGGCUUAACCUGGGGGCUGCAUUUGAUACGUGUGAUCUAGAGUCCGGAAGAGGAGUGUGGAAUUCCCGGUGUAGCGGUGAAAUGCGCAGAUAUCGGGAAGAACACCCGUGGCGAAGGCGGCACUCUGGGACGGUACUGACGCUGAGACGCGAAAGCGUGGGGAGCGAACAGG